rnacentral:tRNA from 2 species
AGGGUAGAAGGCAAACUGGAUAGCCACUUUUUUUGGGUAAAAGACCUUAGCGUGUUCGAGUCGCGCCUACCCUA